rnacentral:rRNA from 1 species
GAUGAACGCUGGCGGCGUGCCUAAUACAUGCAAGUAGAACGCUGAAGGAAGGAGCUUGCUCUUUCCGGAUGAGUCGCGAACGGGUGAGUAACGCGUAGGUAACCUGCCUGGUAGCGGGGGAUCACUAUGGGAAACGAGAGCUAAUACCGCAUAACAGUAGAUGGUGCAUGAUAUCUACUAAAAAGGUGCAAUUGCACGACUACCAGAUGGACCUGCGUUGUAUUAGCUAGUUCGUGAGGUAACGGCGCACCAAGGCGACGAUACAUAGCCGACCUGAGAGGGUGAGCGGCCGGCCUGGGAGUGAGACACGGCCCAGACGCCCACGGGAGGCAGCAGUAGGGAAUCGUCGGCAAUGGGCGGAAGUCUGACCGCGCAACGCCGCGUGAGUGAAGAAGGUUUUCGGAUCGUAAAGCUCUGUUGUAAGAGAAGAACGAGUGUGAGAGUGGAAAGUUCACUCUGUGACGGUAUCUGACCAGAAAGGGACGGCUAACUACGUG